GAUGAACGCUAGCGGCAGGCCUAAUACAUGCAAGUCAAGGGGGUAGCAAUACCACCGGCGGACGGGUGCGUAACACGUACACAACGUACCCAAGGGAGGAGGAAAGCGGCGGGAAACUGCCGGUAAUACUCCAUGGUGUUGUUGAAUGGCAUCAUUUAACAACUAAAGUACAAGCGCCCUUGGAUCGGUGUGCGUCCGAUUAGCUAGUUGGCGGGGUAACGGCCCACCAAGGCUUCGAUCGGUAGGGGGUGUGAGAGCAUGACCCCCCACACGGUACGUNAGACACGGACCCGGACCUCCUACCGGGAGGG
rnacentral:rRNA from 1 species